rnacentral:rRNA from 11 species
GGGUUGUGAGGUUAAGCGACUAAGCGUACACGGUGGAUGCCCUGGCAGUCAGAGGCGAUGAAGGGCGUGCUAAUCUGCGAUAAGCGCCGGUAAGGUGAUAUGAACCGUUAUAACCGGCGAUACCCGAAUGGGGAAACCCAGUGUGAUUCGUCACACUAUCAUUAACUGAAUCCAUAGGUUAAUGAGGCGAACCGGGGGAACUGAAACAUCUAAGUACCCCGAGGAAAAGAAAUCAACCGAGAUUCCCCCAGUAGCGGCGAGCGAACGGGGAGGAGCCCAGAGCCUGAAUCAGCAUGUGUGUUAGUGGAAGCGUCUGGAAAGGUGCGCGAUACAGGGUGACAGCCCCGUACACAAAAGCGCAUGUGCUGUGAGCUCGAUGAGUAGGGCGGGACACGUGGUAUCCUGUCUGAAUAUGGGGGGACCAUCCUCCAAGGCUAAAUACUCCUGACUGACCGAUAGUGAACCAGUACCGUGAGGGAAAGGCGAAAAGAACCCCGGCGAGGGGAGUGAAAAAGAACCUGAAACCGUGUACGUACAAGCAGUGGGAGCACAGGUUUACCUGUGUGACUGCGUACCUUUUGUAUAAUGGGUCAGCGACUUAUAUUCUGUAGCAAGGUUAACCGUAUAGGGGAGCCGUAGGGAAACCGAGUCUUAACCGGGCGUUAAGUUGCAGGGUAUAGACCCGAAACCCGGUGAUCUAGCCAUGGGCAGGUUGAAGGUUGGGUAACACUAACUGGAGGACCGAACCGACUAAUGUUGAAAAAUUAGCGGAUGACCUGUGGCUGGGGGUGAAAGGCCAAUCAAACCGGGAGAUAGCUGGUUCUCCCCGAAAGCUAUUUAGGUAGCGCCUCGUGAAUUCAUCUCCGGGGGUAGAGCACUGUUUCGGCUAGGGGGCCAUCCCGGCUUACCAACCCGAUGCAAACUGCGAAUACCGGAGAAUGUUAUCACGGGAGACACACGGCGGGUGCUAACGUCCGUCGUGAAGAGGGAAACAACCCAGACCGCCAGCUAAGGUCCCAAAGUCAUGGUUAAGUGGGAAACGAUGUGGGAAGGCCCAGACAGCCAGGAUGUUGGCUUAGAAGCAGCCAUCAUUUAAAGAAAGCGUAAUAGCUCACUGGUCGAGUCGGCCUGCGCGGAAGAUGUAACGGGGCUAAACCAUGCACCGAAGCUGCGGCAGCGAACGUAUCACCCAAGACAACUUUACGGAGUUGACGAUUGACGGAGCGAAGCGACGUCAAAGCGUUCAUUAAAGUCGAGUUGGCUUAGGGAUACGUUCGUUGGGUAGGGGAGCGUUCUGUAAGCCUGUGAAGGUGUGUCGUGAGGCAUGCUGGAGGUAUCAGAAGUGCGAAUGCUGACAUAAGUAACGAUAAAGCGGGUGAAAAGCCCGCUCGCCGGAAGACCAAGGGUUCCUGUCCAACGUUAAUCGGGGCAGGGUGAGUCGACCCCUAAGGCGAGGCCGAAAGGCGUAGUCGAUGGGAAACGGGUUAAUAUUCCCGUACUUGGUGUUACUGCGAAGGGGGGACGGAGAAGGCUAUGUUGGCCGGGCGACGGUUGUCCCGGUUUAAGCGUGUAGGUGUGUGUUCCAGGUAAAUCCGGUUCACUUUAACACUGAGGCGUGACGACGAGGCACUACGGUGCUGAAGCAACAAAUGCCCUGCUUCCAGGAAAAGCCUCUAAGCAUCAGGUAACACGAAAUCGUACCCCAAACCGACACAGGUGGUCAGGUAGAGAAUACCAAGGCGCUUGAGAGAACUCGGGUGAAGGAACUAGGCAAAAUGGUGCCGUAACUUCGGGAGAAGGCACGCUGACACGUAGGUGAAGUGAUUUACUCAUGGAGCUGAAGUCAGUCGAAGAUACCAGCUGGCUGCAACUGUUUAUUAAAAACACAGCACUGUGCAAACACGAAAGUGGACGUAUACGGUGUGACGCCUGCCCGGUGCCGGAAGGUUAAUUGAUGGGGUCAGCGCAAGCGAAGCUCCUGAUCGAAGCCCCGGUAAACGGCGGCCGUAACUAUAACGGUCCUAAGGUAGCGAAAUUCCUUGUCGGGUAAGUUCCGACCUGCACGAAUGGCGUAAUGAUGGCCAGGCUGUCUCCACCCGAGACUCAGUGAAAUUGAACUCGCUGUGAAGAUGCAGUGUACCCGCGGCAAGACGGAAAGACCCCGUGAACCUUUACUAUAGCUUGACACUGAACAUUGAGCCUUGAUGUGUAGGAUAGGUGGGAGGCUUUGAAGUGUGGACGCCAGUCUGCAUGGAGCCGACCUUGAAAUACCACCCUUUAAUGUUUGAUGUUCUAACGUGGACCCGUAAUCCGGGUUGCGGACAGUGUCUGGUGGGUAGUUUGACUGGGGCGGUCUCCUCCUAAAGAGUAACGGAGGAGCACGAAGGUUGGCUAAUCCUGGUCGGACAUCAGGAGGUUAGUGCAAUGGCAUAAGCCAGCUUGACUGCGAGCGUGACGGCGCGAGCAGGUGCGAAAGCAGGUCAUAGUGAUCCGGUGGUUCUGAAUGGAAGGGCCAUCGCUCAACGGAUAAAAGGUACUCCGGGGAUAACAGGCUGAUACCGCCCAAGAGUUCAUAUCGACGGCGGUGUUUGGCACCUCGAUGUCGGCUCAUCACAUCCUGGGGCUGAAGUAGGUCCCAAGGGUAUGGCUGUUCGCCAUUUAAAGUGGUACGCGAGCUGGGUUUAGAACGUCGUGAGACAGUUCGGUCCCUAUCUGCCGUGGGCGCUGGAGAACUGAGGGGGGCUGCUCCUAGUACGAGAGGACCGGAGUGGACGCAUCACUGGUGUUCGGGUUGUCAUGCCAAUGGCACUGCCCGGUAGCUAAAUGCGGAAGAGAUAAGUGCUGAAAGCAUCUAAGCACGAAACUUGCCCCGAGAUGAGUUCUCCCUGAGACUUAGAGUCUCCUGAAGGAACGUUGAAGACGACGACGUUGAUAGGCCGGGUGUGUAAGCGCAGCGAUGCGUUGAGCUAACCGGUACUAAUGAACCGUGAGGCUUAACCUUACAACGCCGAAG